rnacentral:rRNA from 1 species
AGCUUGCUAUUUUUAUGAAGAGCGGCGAACGGGUGAGUAACGCGUGGGAAAUCUGCCGAGUAGCGGGGGACAACGUUUGGAAACGAACGCUAAUACCGCAUAACAAUGAGAAUCGCAUGAUUCUUAUUUAAAAGAAGCAAUUGCUUCACUACUUGAUGAUCCCGCGUUGUAUUAGCUAGUUGGUAGUGUAAAGGACUACCAAGGCGAUGAUACAUAGCCGACCUGAGAGGGUGAUCGGCCACACUGGGACUGAGACACGGCCCAGACUCCUACGGGAGGCAGCAGUAGGGAAUCUUCGGCAAUGGGGGCAACCCUGACCGAGCAACGCCGCGUGAGUGAAGAAGGUUUUCGGAUCGUAAAACUCUGUUGUUAGAGAAGAACGUUAAGUAGAGUGGAAAAUUACUUAAGUGACGGUAUCUAACCAGAAAGGGACGGCUAACUACGUGCCAGCAGCCGCGGUAAUACGUAGGUCCCAAGCGUUGUCCGGAUUUAUUGGGCGU